rnacentral:lncRNA from 1 species
AUCUGAGUGACCAGCAGGGGUGGAGCCUGGAUCCAUCCCUCCUCACCCUCAUUUAAGGGUUAGCAGUCAAGAGAGCACCAUUUCUUUGGAUAGAGGCUGGACUUCUCUCAAGCUGUCACUGGGCAUCAGAUGGGCACUUCUGGGUCUCGAAGGACUUACCAGCCUGAAUCCAGCAACAGGAUCCUGCCAAAGACUUUUGGCCUGGCCCUGGAAAUCAAAUAUCUUGGUUUGCAUGGCUUCAGAUGUAAGAAACACAAUGGUGUCGAGCUGCCUUUGAAGGAACUCAGCUGGGUGCCUUUGCUUUACCAGGAAGGUUUAGCUGCAGAGGGACAAACCACCCAUCCGUUACUCACUCAUAACUGGAGACUUGGCAGAGUUUCUCUCUCUUUCUCCUCUGGCCAGUGCUGGGGUGAGGAAGGGGAAUGAUUAGCAAGAUUAAUCUCCUGUAGACUAGAUGGACGUGUAAUCUUAUGCACUAUCUUCAAGACAGACUGGGUUGAUGUUAUUGUUUCCUUUUCAUCUGAGUUUACAUCUUCACAAGCAAAGGCAAUAAGAUGGAAGUAGGCAUGAAGGGAAAAAUAUGAAGGAGAAACGAAGCUGAAAAAAAAAAGAAAAAAGAGAAAAAAAAGAAAAUGCACUAAAAAAAAAAUCCAAGAAAAAGGACAGUGCUUUUAUUCUGCAGAUUCAGUGGGGGCAGGUGUAAAGCUGAGAAGUGUCUGUAAAGAUCUCCUAAACACCGUACUAACUAAAGUUUCCUGACUUUCCCAAGGAUGACUGUAUCUCAGUGUGUGCGUGGCUGGAGAAAUCACAACUUUACACGUGGUAUUUCAGCUUGCAGUUCCAAGCACCUCAAUUUCCUUGUGUUCACCAGUUUUCCCUGACUUCCUAGGUUUCAAGCCAUGCAGAUGUACUUCCUGCACCCAAAUUUCUAUCCAUCUUGAAGCACCUUCUGGAGCACUUUUCACAAAGCACAGCCUGUUGUGUUGCCUGAGGAUGUUCUCAACGUGAGCAUGCCCAGAAACAGCGCUGGGAAAAUGUGUGUUGGGACUGAAUAUUGCUCAGAUGCAAGCAAAGACUGACACUGUGAUAAUUGCCUUUGAGGGGGCAAUUCUUCAUCCCUUGGUUGGUGAAAGCAGAGUGCUUCCUUGGGCCAUUACUGUGGGCUGGCAUUGCGAGAGCU